rnacentral:piRNA from 1 species
UGCUACGUGGGAACUGUUCAGGACUGUGGGAU